UUUUUUAAUAGAAUAUGUUCUUAUCUUUCGUAAAACAUGGACCCACCCGACACUUGGACUGGACAAUGGACUACUAAAUCAAUACAGUCAGACUCAGUUCCAGACACCUGGGGGCUGAUGGAGGGCCUCUGUGGAGCCAGCUGUCACAGAGGAAGACCUGGGAGGAGCCUUGCCUUCAGAGAUAUAACCCCGUCUGUCACAGAGGACAAAUCAACCAACCCUACCAUCCUGAUGGAGAAGGGGUUUGUGCUUUGCCUCAGAAAACAGAGGAAGGCAAUGAGGCCCCUCAAAUGGUCCUGUUUUCUGCAAACAAGACAAAACAAGGAAAUGAGCUAUCAUCCCUGCCUUUCAGUGCAGCACGUCCGCUGUCCUCUUGACAGGAUAUUUAUUGAGCAAAAAAAGUAACUUAUUUCACAGAAUGAAGGAUUAUCAAUGUCAUGUGCAUGCAAAGACAAACUUGUCCUCUGAAAUGUCACCUGG
ensembl:lncRNA